CUUGUCACCAUAUGAAUGAGACUGUGAUGGCAUGGAAAUGCAUGUAGCCAAGGCUUUAUGCUACAAAAUCUAGGGAUGAGAGUCUCUCCCUGAAUGUUUGAAAACUCCAGACAAGAGCUAACAGUGAGGAUGCACCAGCUCCUCACUCUUCCUAGCUUCUGCUAUUAGUCUCUCCCCUGAAUGCAGUCUACUAAUACCCAGCACUGCCUUCCAGCAUUGGUCUGGGCAGAUGUUGGUGAUUAUGAGAAGAGAUGAAGUCUGAGCAAGGAGCUGGGACACAUCAAGGAAGAAGCUAAAACUCCACACAGAUGGGAGCCCAUGUACUCCAACCUAUUUUGUCCAGACUCCGAAGGCCAACGCGGAAGUAAAAAGUAUCUUCUCAUCUACAGGGACAAUAUGAAAUUAUUGUUUAAUCUGAAAUCUGCACAUAGAAUA